UAAUUCUGUAAUUUUGAUUUAUUUUUUAUGCACAUGUCCGUGAUGUCACAAGACAACAGUUUAGCCAUUUUUACGCACCGUUAUAACAAAUUGAGAUUCAACCACCCCUGAACAGGCGUCGGGGUCAAGACGGUGCUAUCUAGGAGGAAGACGGCGUUCUCGCGAGACUGACCCAUCUUUGCUGGUGUCGACGAUACCGGCGAGCAGAUUGACAGAGUCAGGGUUGUAGUCUGGGUCAGUGUAGAGGCCAAGGUAGCUUCGCACGAAGUCGGACGGGGUCAUGAACCGCUCGCCAUUCUUCUCCUGCGAUGCGUACUACGAUUCGCCGAGAAAAAGAAAGGAAAGCUUCGUUAUCAACCGAUCGAUCGGAGCGAGACAAAGAGAUAAAACAACAAGAAGUAACGUGCAAGUCUGGUUUCUCACCUGAUUGAAGAUUUCAUGGAGGCGUUCAGUGUGCGCACGCUUUAGAUAUCCGGAACCCUGGAACCAAAAGCGAUAACGAUCAGAAAAAUUCCUUUCCCCCCGCUUCGGCUUUCUGUUCGUCGUCCACGGCCCUCGUCACCCGGACGAAGCAGCUCGGGCGAAAAGCAGAUUGGAAAUUAAAACGAAGCCUCUCCGGGCUGCAACGUCCACCGGCAUCGUCUAUAAUCCAUGCCGUUUUUCCGGGUGACCUCGUAAAACGACGAUUUAUAGCUCGCGCUAUUUUCACGAAUCCCUAUGAACCGUGGACGGGUUAUCUGCGAUAACGCGUUAUCGCGAGGCCGAUAGCGAAAAAGGCUGCAAUUCGCUCGCGAGAUUGCGCUUCUGUUCAAAGACGUUGCUGGCGAACAUGCCGCCGGACGAAUUACACAGUCUCUUUAACAUGUUCGGAAUUCUUUUUAUAGAAAUGCUCCGAAGAUCUUAUCGUCGGUUUUCUUUUUAGAGACUCUGUAGAAUCGUUCUACGCAAGUUCUUGUAACUUUCACAAGAACUAAACCUACCGAGCACAAAAAGCGAUCGACGUUUGCUCUUCUAUAAGAACGACAAGACUGGAUUCCCGUAGUCGUUCCAUCAAUCUUUUUUCUCUAUUUUUUUUUCGACGCGUGUAACUUAGAAGAUCCAAUCGAUCGAUUCCGAUAAAAGAGUGUUCGCAACACGUCUACGAUCUGAAAACAUUGUAAGAAACGUGAAACCGGGCAGAACGACCUGACCGUCGUGGUCGUUCGUUGAAUCGCUGGGUUUAUUUACUCCUUUUAAAAAAUGCUCGAAUUCCGUUGAUCGUAGACGGCGAUUGUACUCGGUCUAUACUUAGAAGCGCGAUACGUUUGCACGAACAUGCCGGCACACUUUUAAGAUUUUCUUUCGACGAGAGCCGCAGGUUCAGCCGCUCAAGGACGAACGACGGUGUUGUGUAAUAAAGCGAUAAAGAAAGUUCGGCCGCCGCCGCCGCCGCCGCCGCCGCCGCCGCGAUAACAGGAUAUCGAGAUCUGCUGGCAGAAUUACGCGACGCUCCGAUCGUUAUCUAACCGAGGAACGUGUUCUAUUCGAGUACUCCAGGCUAUCGGGAAAGGUUGCAAUUGGCCCGAAGAU